rnacentral:rRNA from 1 species
UACGUAGGUGUCGAGCGUUGUCCGGAUUUAUUGGGCGUAAAGGGCGCGUAGGCGGCCAUGCGUGUCUUCCGUGAAAUCCCUCGGCUUAACUGAGGACGUGCGGAAGAAACUGCAAGGCUCGAGUCCGGGAGAGGAGGGUGGAAUUCCCAGUGUAGCGGUGAAAUGCGUAGAUAUUGGGAGGAACACCGGUGGCGAAGGCGGCCCUCUGGACCGGUACUGACGCUGAUGCGCGAAAGCGUGGGUAGCAAACGGG